GGGGAAUAUUGCGCAAUGGGGGAAACCCUGACGCAGCGACGCCGCGUGGAGGAAGAAGGCCUUUGGGUUGUAAACUCCUUUGAUCGGGGACGAAGAUGACGGUACCCGAAGAACAAGCCACGGCUAACUACGUGCCAGCAGCCGCGGUAAUACGUAGGUGGCGAGCGUUGUCCGGAAUUACUGGGUGUAAAGGGUGCGUAGGCGGGAUGAUAAGUCAGCGGUGAAAGUUUGAGGCUCAACCUUAAAAUUGCCGUUGAAACUGUCUUUCUUGAGUAUAUUUGAAGUAGGCGGAAUUCGUGGUGUAGCGGUGAAAUGCAUAGAUAUCACGAAGAACUCCAAUUGCGAAGGCAGCUUACUAAACUAUAACUGACGCUGAAGCACGAAAGCGUGGGUAUCAAACAGGA
rnacentral:rRNA from 1 species